AAUUGGGCUUGAAGAAGGAAAAAGUCUAAAAUGAUCCUGCAGUUAACUAAUGCUCUGAAGGUUUUGGGUCGAACUCCGAUGCUAUAUUCAUUCUGUUAUCGCUUGUAAUGAAGGACAGAGAUCCCCAGCUCAGCUUCCAGAGGUGGAUGAUUGGAAAGAGCAGAAGUGACAAACGGCUCAAUCAAAGAUCAGGUGAUAGAAAUGCAGGCAGAGAAUUCAAGAAAAGCACAAAAGAUCAAGAGACAGAGGUCGUGUGUUGCCCUUGGGUGUUUGACAUGUGGAUCCUCCAGGGAAGCUCGGAUCUUCUGUCGGUGAGAAUCAUAA